AACUGAUACUACCUGCGGGAACCUGCGGAAGGAUCAUUGCUGGAACGCGCCCCAGGCGCACCCAGAAACCCUUUGUGAACUUAUACCUUACUGUUGCCUCGGCGCAUGCCGGCCCCCAGGGGCCCCUCGGAGACGAGGAGCAGGCACGCCGGCGGCCAACCUAACUCUUGUUUUUACACUGAAACUCUGAGAAAAAAAACAAAAUGAAUCAAAACUUUCAACAACGGAUCUCUAGAUCGG
rnacentral:misc_RNA from 1 species